rnacentral:rRNA from 1 species
AUUGAACGCUGGCGGCAGGCCUAACACAUGCAAGUCGAACGGUAACAGGAAGCAGCUUGCUGCUUCGCUGACGAGUGGCGGACGGGUGAGUAAUGUCUGGGAAACUGCCUGAUGGAGGGGGAUAACUACUGGAAACGGUAGCUAAUACCGCAUAACGUCGCAAGACCAAAGAGGGGGACCUUAGGGCCUCUUGCCAUCGGAUGUGCCCAGAUGGGAUUAGCUUGUAGGUGGGGUAACGGCUCACCUAGGCGACGAUCCCUAGCUGGUCUGAGAGGAUGACCAGCCACACUGGAACUGAGACACGGUCCAGACUCCUACGGGAGGCAGCAGUGGGGAAUAUUGCACAAUGGGCGCAAGCCUGAUGCAGCCAUGCCGCGUGUAUGAAGAAGGCCUUCGGGUUGUAAAGUACUUUCAGCGGGGAGGAAGGGAGUAAAGUUAAUACCUUGGCUCAUUGACGUUACCCGCAGAAGAAGCACCGGCUAACUCCGUG